rnacentral:rRNA from 1 species
UACGUGGGGGGCAAGCGUUGUUCGGAAUUACUGGGCGUAAAGCGUCCGUAGGCGGCUGGCCAAGUUUUCGGUGAAAUCCCACGGCCCAACCGUGGAACUGUCGAAAAAACUGGUCAGAUAGAGUGUGGCAGAGGCAGAGGGAAUUCCCGGUGUAGGGGUAAAAUCCGUUGAUAUCGGGAAGAACACCAGUGGCGAAGGCGCUCUGCUGGGCCAUCACUGACGCUCAGGGACGAAAGCGUGGGUAGCGAACGGG